GGAUCAUUACCGAGUUAUUCAACUCAUCAACCCUGUGAACUUACCUAAACGUUGCUUCGGCGGGAAUAGACGGCCCUGUAAAACGGGCCGCCCCCGCCAGAGGACUCUUAACUCUGUUUCUUAUAAUGUUUCUUCUGAGUAAAACAAGCAAAUAAAUUAAAACUUUCAACAACGGAUCUCUUGGCUCUGGCAUCGAUGAAGAACGCAGCGAAAUGCGAUAAGUAAUGUGAAUUGCAGAAUUCAGUGAAUCAUCGAAUCUUUGAACGCACAUUGCGCCCGCCAGUAUUCUGGCGGGCAUGCCUGUUCGAGCGUCAUUACAACCCUCAGGCCCCCGGGCCUGGCGUUGGGGAUCGGCGGAGCGCCCCUCGUGGGCGCACGCCGUCCCCCAAAUACAGUGGCGGUCCCGCCGCAGCUUCCAUCGCGUAGUAGCUAACACCUCGCGACUGGAGAGCGGCGCGGCCACGCCGUAAAACACCCCAACUCUUCUGAAGUUGACCUCGAAUCAGGUAGGAAUACCCGCUGAACUUAAGCAUAUCAAUAAGCGG
rnacentral:misc_RNA from 1 species